rnacentral:sRNA from 1 species
UGCACAAGACGUAUACCAGGCGAUCCGAUGCACUUAGGUUGUGUAGGACCAAUGUUUGGUUAUGGUGCUUGUGGUAUUUCUUAUUCUUCAAAUCCUGGCUUUCGUGGCAGAUCGUGAGAACAGCAUCCCUGAGGUUACACCUAGGAGUGUUCGCUGAAAAAGAAAAAAAAAAAAAAAAAACCAUCAGGCAUACAUUAGGGAAUAUAGGAAAGGACUGUACACCUGUUUCGAAUUCGACCAUGUAUUUUGUACGUAUCCUAUUUGUUAUCUUUUGCAAAAUAGUUGUUUGAAUCCUGUUUCUCUGGGGUACUCAAACUGAGGAUUAUUCGUCCCUCUACUCCGUACACGAUCCAAGUUUCCUUCCUUUUUUUUCUUUUGGAAUUUUAAGAAUC